GACGAACGCUGGCGGCGUGCUUAACACAUGCAAGUCGAACGGAAAGGCCCUGCUUGCGGGGUACUCGCGUGGCGAACGGGUGAGUAACACGUGGGUGUACCGCCCUGCUCUUCGGGGUAUGCCUGGGAAAAUGGGGCUCAUACCGGAUAGGAGCCCUCCUUCGUGUUGUGGUUGGAAGGUUUUUUGGGGGUAGGGUGGGCUCGCGGCCUUUCAGCUUGCUGGUGGGGUAAUGGCCUACCUACGCGGGGACGGGUGGCCGGCCUGCGUGGGUGGACGGCCACAUUGGGGCUUGGGAACGGCCCAGGCUCCUACGGGGGGGAUGAGGGGGGAAAUAUGCAAAAUGGGCGCGAGCCUGAUGCAGCGACGCCGCGUGGGGGAUGGCGGCCUUUGGGUUGGAAACUCCUUUCGCCAGGGACGGAGCUUUUUGUGACGGUACCGAGAAAAGAAGCACCGGCUAACUACGUG
rnacentral:rRNA from 1 species